rnacentral:rRNA from 1 species
UACGAAGGGGGCUAGCGUUGCUCGGAAUCACUGGGCGUAAAGGGUGCGUAGGCGGGUCUUUAAGUCAGGGGUGAAAUCCUGGAGCUCAACUCCAGAACUGCCUUUUGAUACUGAAGAUCUUGAGUUCGGGAGAGGUGAGUGGAACUGCGAGUGUAGAGGUGAAAUUCGUAGAUAUUCGCAAGAACACCAGUGGCGAAGGCGGCUCACUGGCCCGAUACUGACGCUGAGGCACGAAAGCGUGGGAAGCAAAC